rnacentral:tRNA from 1 species
UCCCAGUGGCUCAGUGGUAAAGAAUCUGCUUGCAAUGCAGGAGACCUGGGUUUGAUCCCUGGAUUGGGAA